rnacentral:lncRNA from 1 species
UCUACUGUAUCUUCCUCUACAUAUUCGCACUCGAAUCACCUAGGUGGCUUCACAUGCAAGGAAACGACGAAGAAGCUAUUAAUGUUCUCAAAAGCAUGUCAUCCAAGAACAAACCCUACUUGGAAUCACUAGUUUCUCAGUUACCUCCGGAGCAAGAAACCUCUGAAGAGCUGCCAAGGUACUCUAUUAAGGACUUCUUCUUCCGAAAGUGGGCUUUUCGGAGGAUUGUAGUUGUUAUGAUCAUAUUGUUUGGAUUGGGAAUAUCGUACUAUGGAGUUCCAUUAGCAGCUAGAGAUAUAGACGUCAACAUAUACUUGAGCGAAACCCUAAACGCAGUGGUGGAGUUGCCUACUUUCGUUAUCACUCCGAUCUUAUUGGAGAGGUUCAACAGAAGAAGCUCUGUUCUAGUGAAUACCUUACUCGGUGGAGCCUCGGGAGUGCUUUGUUUCGUUCUCAGUCUUCUCGGGAAAACAGGGAUGGCGUUUGCGUUUGAGCUAGCGACAUUUUUCUGUGCAAGAAUCGGAUUCAACCUAAUGGCGGUUUAUAUGGUUGAAAUGUUUCCGACAUGUGUGAGAAGUUCCGCAACAAUGAUGUUUAGACAGGCUCUUGUCGUUGGAGGAGCUUGUUGUCCGCUCAUUGCUUCCAUUGGGAGAGAUCUACCAUCAGUAUCCUUUGCGAUUUUCGGAGUUGCCAUGUCGGGUUUUGAAUUGUUCGUUUUGAUUCUACCCGAGACAAAAGGUUCAAGCCUCUGCGAUACAAUGGAAGAACAAGAGAAGAGAGAUCAAACCAUAAACACUAGCCAUUGUUGAUGAAUUUAGAAGUUUAGAUUAUAAAUGCUCUAUCUUUAUAUGUUUUCAAAUAUUUGUGGUGUCUGUGUUGAUGUAAAAGACUUAUAAGAAGUGAGUUGAAGUUGAAGAUGAAGUUGAAGUAUUGUUGUGUAAUGACUAAAUAAUAUUUUGCUAUUCAUCCACAAAGAUAUCAAAAAAUUCUCAGUGGUACUACUGUUUCUGUUUUUGCUUUUUUUUUUCUCUCAGGUUUUGUAAUGAUUCAUAGCUGUAAAUGUAAGUAGGGUCUAGUGAAUACUGAAUGGACUUUUGUUGUUGUCUGAAUGAGCAGGGACAUUGACUCCGUGUUUGUUGGGUUAUGUCUCAAAAUCGGAGUGGCCUAAUAUGAAAGAUGAACAUAUAUGAUUACAUGCGUAGCUUUGAGAACAGAGAUUACUAUGUUCCGUGGGAUGUUGAUCUCGACAAGAUCGAUGCGGUUUUGGAUAGGAUUUGUGGUUCUGGAGAAGGAUGGUGAGACAGUGAAUGUAGUAACAAAAGACGAUGUGAAGAAGAAGCAAAAUAACAGAUUUAAGUGAUAGCGUGUAACAGAAUUUCAGUGAUGGUGAAAUAACAGUUCUAUACGUAGUUUUUCUUCUAUUAAUAUACGGACUACAUAUAAACAAAUAAGUUUGGAAGUUACAAUACUUUACGGUGCAGUCUGAAAGAAAGCUAAUGAAGGUCAGUCAAAAAGAAAAAGAAAGCAGAAGAAGACGAACUAUAUAUAGCAAGAUGUGUAAGAACAUCCGCAACAGCAAUCCUUAAAGGGAGAGUCCUUAAAAAACAAUAAUUAAAUAAUCAAUGGAUUCUACCAAAAGCUAAGGAUUCAACCUUUAAAAUUCCUAAAUAAAGAUUUUUUUAGUGAAUCCUUGCACUAUUUGUGCCUUUGUGUGCCUCUACGAUAUGUGUCAGCUCGUGAUUGGUUGAUAUUUUUUUUUAUUUAUCUGAAAAAGAAAAAAAAUAAUAAUUAAAAAAUCAAAAAACACUUUUUCUAAGGAUUCCAAUGGGGUAUCACCAUUGGAGAUGUUCUAACCCACUCAACAAAGUAAUAAAGACAAAACACCAUAUGAUAAGAAAAUUCAUAAUCACCUGGAUGCUGUUGAAACAUUGGAAAUUGCACCCCUACACAUGUUAAUACGUUAUAUGAGCUGUUGAAACUUUAUCUAUUACAGAGAAAAUUUUAUUAUUCAAUCUCGAAGUGUUAAUAGAAACGUAAAUUGGAAUAUAAAAAUCUAUAAAAAUCAAACAUUUACAAAAAGAUUUAGUGUUCUUCAAUAAAAAAAGUUGGCAAUGUAAUUAGCGGACCAAAGUAUAUAAAACUUGAUGAAUGAUUAGAAGCAUAUUUUAGGUUUAUCUCUGUAAAAGAGUUGUGCUAAUUUUCAGGAUGUUGGAUUGUAACGACAUUUGGGCAAUAGGUGCCCAGCAUAUUGGCUUGUUGAAUGCUACAUUAUACAUUGCAUUGUUCAAAUGAGAGUUUCAAAUCAGUAAAGAAAGACGACGUCGUUGGUUCCUAGCUCCUAACAGCUGACAAGUCUCAUCAGUUAUCACCAUCCAGAUCCACUAGAAUCUUGGUGUCAAGAACCAUCAACAAUACAAAAUUUGUGUAACCAUAGGAAUUGCGGUUAUCGUAUAGAGAGUACAUAUUUUGUAUGAUCUCCACUUAAAUUUGCUUCAUCUCAAGUGUUGCAUGCGUCAUCAGCAUGUCCAAUAAUAUCAAUAAGAUCUCUGUUAAUUAAUGUCUCUAACCAUCUUUUCAUUUUUUGGUUUUCAUAUAAACCAUAUAAUCCAAAUCUUCAUUCUCGAUUUUGAGUUAGUUGCUAACUUACUUUUUAAAUAUUGACAUUAAAUUUGUUUGUGCAAUUGUGCAUAUGAUAUUCGUACAAAUAUAAGCUAAUGACUAAUGAGUAUUGAUAUCACUUGGGGUGAAAUAAUGAUCUCUUCACUUUGAUCAGAGGUAUUUCUGUUCCUCUCUGCUGAUGUGUGUUCUUCCUCAUCCAGUCCAAAAUUUUUAAAACCAUAUCUACAAGUAUUAAUGACAAGUUAUUAUUAUGUGGUACUACUAAAUUUAUGGCAUCACCUAUAAGUAUGAACGCCACUAAAAGAAAAACAGCAAAUUAAAUUCUCAUUAUCAUAAUAUUGACUUCAUCGUCCCCACGCUUUUCACGACUCAUGGCACAUUUUGUAACUCAUGUCAAACUAAAACACGUUGAGAUUUUUUUUUAAAGUUAGAUAGACUUUAGAAUUAAGAGUUUAUUAGAGUUGGUUGAUUUAAAAGUUUGAAAUUUUGUUAAAUUUACUUAACUCUGGUAGUCUUUUAAAAAUUUAGUAAUAGAUUAAAAAAAUUAAUAAUCAAAAGAAUAUCUAAAAAUCUGAUAACUUCUUUUAAUAAGUUAAAUUAUUAAAAAAAAUAUCAUUUCAAAAUAAAUAUUAAUUUGCUAAACAAUAUUUAAUUUUUAAAUAUUACUAUAGUUAGUUGACAAAAAUAAUAAUAAUACUAUAGUUAAUUUUUUUUAAAAAAAAUUAUAAUAUAACCAAUAAUAAUAAAUUAUGUUAAGUUAUUAUAAUUAAUAAAUCAAUAACAAUAUAAUCUAAAAUUAUAAUAAUUAACAAAAAAAUUUACCCCCACUACUCUUGUUAGAAAUGUUAUAGGUUUGUAUUUAAUGAAAACUCAGAUUCAGAUUAUUAUAUAUAAGCUGUAAGAAGGGCAAUGAUCAUCCAAUCAUCCAAUAGCCAACCCCUUGAAAAGAAAAGAAAAAUCUCUAAAACCCCAAACAAUAUUAAUGUCUGGUCCUUCAGAACCAUUGUUGCUGUCUCAUAUCGGCGCCGAUGAUUCUAACGUCGACCACAAAACCAGACCAGAAGCUUUAACUUUCGACAGCAUUGUCGAACACAGUCUAUCAGAUUUUGGGUUCUGGCAACUCUUCCAGGUAAUCCUCGUUGGACUCACUUUGCUCUUCGAUGCUCAGCAGAUAUUCAUCACGGUUUACACAGACGCAUACCCUACAUGGCACUGUCUUAACCACACGAUCUGCGAUCAUGCCACUUCCGACAUCUGCAAGCUCCCAAGAUCAGCUUGGGAAUGGGACGGUGGCUCCACGGACAAAACCAUCAUUUCAGAUUUUGGACUCGAGUGCUCGAGCUCAUUACUCAGAGGUAUGCCUACCUCUGCUUUCUACAUCGGUGGCAUUGUUGGUGGAUUCGUUCUAGCUUUAAUCCCAGAUGGUUUCUUGGGCCGCAAGAAACUAGUUUUUCUCUCAACUUUUGCUACGUCAGUGACUGCAAUCUCUGUUGUUUUCUCAAUCAACGUAUGGAUUUACACAACCCUAAAGUUUGUCAACGGGUUCUCGAAAUCACAGACAUGGUCAUAUGCGAUGGUUCUCAUCAGCGAGCGAGUCUCCACCAAAUGGAGACCGAGAGCUACCAUGAUUCCAUUUACCUUUUUCGUUUUAGGGUUUAUGUCAUUGUCUGGAAUCGCUUACCUUGCUCAACACUCUUCAUGGAGAUUUCUCUAUCUCUACACAGCCGUUCCCGCAUUAUUAUACUGUAUCUUUCUGUACAUAUUCGCACUCGAAUCACCUCGGUGGCUUCACUUGCAAGGAAACGACGAAGAAGCCAUUAAAGUUCUCAAAAGCAUGUCGUCGAAGAACAAACCCUACUUGGAAUCACUAGUUUCUGUGUUACCCCUGGAGCAAGAAACCUCUGAAGAACUGCCAAGGUACUCGAUUAAGGACUUCUUCUUCCGAAAGUGGGCUUUUCGGAGGAUUGUGGUUGUUAUGAUCAUAAUGUUUGGAUUGGGAAUAUCAUACUACGGAGUUCCUUUAGCAGCUAGAGACAUAGACGUCAACAUCUACUUAUCUGAAACCCUAAACGCAGUGGUGGAGUUGCCUUCUUUUGUUAUCACUCCGAUCAUAUUGGAGAGGGUCAACAGAAGAAGCUCUGUUCUAGUGAAUACAUUACUAGGUGGAGCUUCAGGAGUGCUUUGUUUCGUUCUCAGCGUUCUUGGGAAAACAGGCAUUGCGUUUGCGUUUGAGCUAGCGACGUUUUUCUGUGCAAGGAUCGGAUUUAACCUAAUGGCGGUUUAUAUGGUUGAAAUGUUUCCUACUUGUGUAAGAAGUUCUGCAACAAUGAUGUUUAGACAGGCCCUUGUUGUUGGAGGAGCUUGUUGUCCGCUCAUUGCUUCCAUUGUAAGAGAUCUACCAUCAGUAUCCUUUGCGAUUUUCGGAGUUGCCAUGUCUGGUUUGGGGUUGUUCGUUUUGAUUCUACCCGAGACAAAAGGUUCAAGCCUCUGCGAUACAAUGGAAGAACAAGAAAAAAGAGAUCAAGCUAUAAACUCUAGCUGUUGUUGAUGAGUUUAAGAGUUUCUUUAUCUUAUAAAUUAUCUAUCUUAAUAUGUUUUCAAAUAUAUGUGGGUGUUGAAGCAAAAUACUGAUGCCGGAUAAGGAUCCGGAUCCGGAUACCUUAAAAUUGUCCGGAUACCCGAUCCGAGGUACUACUAUGUUUAUGACGCGACCUAUAAAUAUGAACGCACUAAAAGAGAAACAACAAAUUAGUACAAACUUAAUUUCAUACUAUUGACUUCAUCAACCCACCCAUCUCACAAGCACAUUUUAAAUACAAUAGCUCAUAUCAAACCCAAACACGGCAUGAUUAAGGGAGAAGGUGUUAGUGCCUUAGUGGUACUUAUAUUUUAACAAAGUUGUCAGUUUAAACUUUUUUUUUUUUGAAUAAAAUAAAUAUUGAAUGUAAUUUAAAAUCAUCAAACCAAUACAAAUAUUUUUUACUAAAAUAUAUAACUAAUAAUGUUAGGUAACAUUAAAUUAUUACUAUAAUUUAUAAUCACUAACAAUAAAAGUUAACUCUCAUUAGUCCCUUUAUAAAUCCGAGAUGUGUUUUGAUGAAAGCACAGAUUUAUAUAUAGCUGAUAAGUGAGCAUUUAUCAUCCAAUAGCCAGCUCCCUUCAACAAAAAAGAAAAAGCUCUAACGCCCAAACAAUAUUUAAUGGCUGAUCAGUCAGAACCAUUGCUGUUGUCUGCCGAUGAUUCCGACGUCGACCACAAAACCAGACCAGAAGCUUUAACUUUCGACAACAUUGUCGAACAGAGUCUAUCAGAUUUUGGGUUCUGGCAACUCUUCCAGGUAAUCCUCGUUGGAGUCGCUUUGUUCUUCGAUGCUCAGCAAAUAUUCAUCACCGUUUACACAGACGCAUACCCCACGUGGCACUGUCUUAACCACACGAUCUGCGAUCAUUCCACUUCCGACAUCUGCCGGCUCCCAAGAUCAGCCUGGGAAUGGGACGGUGGCUCCAAGGACAAAACCGUCAUUUCAGAUUUUGGACUCGAGUGCUCGAGCUCAUUACUCAGAGGUAUGCCUACCUCUGCUUUCUACAUCGGUGGCAUUGUUGGUGGAUUCGUUCUAGCUUUAAUCCCAGAUGAUUCCUUGGGCCGCAAGAAACUAGUAUUGUUCUCAACCUUUGCAAUGUCAAUCACUUCAAUCUCUGUUAUUUUCUCAACCAACGUAUGGAUCUACACAACGCUAAAGUUUAUCAUCGGGUUCUCGAGAUCACAGACAUGGUCAUACGCGCUGGUUCUCAUCAGUGAGCGAGUCUCCACCAGAUGGAGACCGAGAGCUACGAUGAUUCCAUUUACCUUUUUUGUUUUAGGGUUUAUGUCAUUGUCUGGAAUCGCCUUCCUUGCUCAACACUCUUCAUGGAGAUUUCUGUAUCUAUACACAGCCGUUCCCGCAAUAUUCUACUGUAUCUUCCUCUACAUAUUCGCACUCGAAUCACCUAGGUGGCUUCACAUGCAAGGAAACGACGAAGAAGCUAUUAAUGUUCUCAAAAGCAUGUCAUCCAAGAACAAACCCUACUUGGAAUCACUAGUUUCUCAGUUACCUCCGGAGCAAGAAACCUCUGAAGAACUGCCAAGGUACUCUAUUAAGGACUUCUUCUUCCGAAAGUGGGCUUUUCGGAGGAUUGUAGUUGUUAUGAUCAUACUGUUUGGGUUGGGAAUAUCAUACUAUGG